rnacentral:tRNA from 1 species
GCGUCGUGAAAUGGCCUUGAAACCGCCUCCUAAGCGGUAGGUCCCCGGUUCGAAUCCGGGCUCGCGCACCA